UUCCAAAUAAAAAUAAAAUAUCUAUUUAAGUUGAGAGAUACAAUGAAAUGAAAGUAUGGCAUUCAGCGGCAGAAAGCCACAUACCUCUUGUAUAUAUUUGUUAACAGUCAGUGUAUUGCCUCUAGAAAUAUGCACUGGUCUGGUCAAAUUAUUUAUUCAAUUGUUUUCUAACAUGAUAAAUUGCUAUAAGGUACAGUUGGUUUGCGACUCUGUCAAGAUCUCUAUAAGCAUAGGAGGAGGUAUUGCUUUAAAAUUGUACAAAUCCUUGCCAGUCUCCAUCGAGCGAUUUUGCUAGGAAGCCAUUGGAAUUUUAAUAUAAGCAAGGUCAAUGCUAAGCUGACAAAUUUAAACACAAUCUGGAAUAGACAUAUGAGACAUACAUGCCUUUUGAUUUACUCAGUUUUGUGGAAGCCAUCCACCAACACAGAAGAAAAUCUCCCUAAACAAGUUCUGAGAGAGACCAAUCAUGGAGAUAGACCAUCCAUCAGAACUCAGAACCAUGCCAAUUCAAGAUGAAGCAGCAGAAACUGCACCCACAAGAGAAAAAAGAGAUCCACCACAACCACCACCAAAGCCCACCGUGUUGGACAAGUACCUAGAUUACCAGGGUUAUUGGUUGGAAAGGACUCGAGGCAACUUGAUGAUAGUGGCUACUGUUAUUGCAUCCAUGGCUUUUCAAUCUGCAACAAACCCGCCAAGUGAACUCUGGAAAGAAGAUUCCCAGGAAAAAGAAUCCAGAUUUGGACAGAUAAAGGAUGCGAUCAUAAAUAAAAAGAUACUCGAGGCAAGAAACAUAGCAAUAGCCUGUGUCAAUAAAUAUGACAGCCAAGAAUUUAUCAUCUGCAACACCGUCUCUUUCUCUGCGUCUCUCUGCAUAAUCUUUCUGCUUACUGUACUGCCCCUCAAAAACAGGAUUUCUAUGUGGAUUUUACUUGUAGCUAUCUGCAUCACACUGAUUUUCGUAGCUGCUACUUACAUAAUCUUGAUCAGCUUGGAUGGUGGUGGGUCAAACAAGGAAAGAUUUAUGGAUGAAAUUCUUUUGUACUACGUGGUAUUUUGGGUUUUGUUCCUAGCGAUGGUUGUCAUAUUUCUUGUCCUCAAACUUCUGUAUUGGAUAUUCAAGAAACUGGCAAUUGGUGUCUUCCAUGCCAUAAAGUUUCUAUACAAGAUGGGGAAGCAACCACUGAAGCCGAAAGUCAUCGAGCUACCAGCAGCCCGUGUUUGAGAAAGAACAAUUACUAGAUUUUGAGAAUGAAGAACUACAAAGGUUAGCACAUAUAUGGUCUAGACUAAUAGCGUGUUUCCCUUAAAGCAUGCUUGGAAUCCAUUUGUAUAUAUGUUUGCAAGUUAGGCUAGGAGUUCCAAAAUCUACAGGAGAACCAAUGCGAAUGAAAUUUAUAUUAGAUUCACUAUUGAGGAUGUUAGAUAUAGAAAUCUUGGUUCGUCAGUUUGAACAAAACAGAUCCUAAAUGAUUCAUAGAGCUAUUUGUGAUAGGUGGGUAUUAGCUUUUCAAGCCAGCUUAUGCUGUAGAACUCUGUUUCUUGUUUUGUACUAUACAAACAAUAAUGAUAUUUAUAGUAUAUAAUUGAUCCUCUGCUUCAGCAUUUCUCACAAUCAAAGGCAUAAAAAUCUUCCAAACAAGAACUAAGAAUUAUACAAUUAAUAAGAUAACCUCAAGAAAGAUGCAAAUUCUAGAAAUUGAUUUCAUAGUUUACACAAAUUGCAUGAAAAUUAAAGGCAAAAAUAAACAAAUUAAUCAUUGCUUGUAUCCUUGUUACGCAUUCUAUAAACAAUACGGCCUCUAGAGGAAUCAUAGCGACUGACCUCAACCUUGACUCUAUCUCCUGGAAGUAUCCGUACAAAAUUCUUCCUUAUCUUGCCCGAAAUAUACCCUAUGAUCACAUCUUCAUUGUCUAAGCGUACCCGAAACAUACCGUUGGGCAGCGAUUCAGUCACGGAGCCUUCAUGGGUCCAUUUCUGCUCCCCAGUUGGAUUGGCUUUUGCUUGGGUCGAAACAUCUACUCUUGAAGCUGAAAUUGUGAGGUUGAGCGGGUUCGUUCUGAUGAAUCUCUGGCCAAGGAAGACUGUUCUUGGAGAGAGAUUGGUGGGUUUUGUAGAGGACGGAGAAGAUAACCCAGGCGCGGCGAGGAUGUGGACUUGGGCGGUAGUGGAGGUCAUCUCCUUCAGGGGAGGUGAGAGCAAAAUCGGAAGUUAAAAUUGGAGGGAAAGAGGGUGUGGGAAUUAGGCUUUGUUUUGAAGGUAGAAAUGGGAAAAUUUUGGAGGAGGGAUUCAUGGGUACAUGUCUGCCCAACAAAAUCCAAGUUUCCUUCAUGGACUAACUAAAAGUUUGUCUUCUUUUGUAAAAAUCCAGUACCACCACAAUCUCCUUUGUGUAACUGCCAAUUUUCAUGAUAGGAUGUGCUUUGCUUUCCCUGUUUUAGUGCAUCUAUCAACUUUAUCUCAGUAGCUAGCUAAGUAAU
rnacentral:misc_RNA from 1 species